rnacentral:lncRNA from 1 species
UACUAGAAUAGAAAUACAAAACAAGAAUAUAUUCAUUCCAUGUACUAUACUACUAUCUGUCCAUAUGCAAGCCUGUGGGCAACAUUCAAAAUUUGCGGGUCAGUGGGGUCACCAAAAUCAGAGCAACAGGAUCUGGAAUUCGUGGCUCAAGACAUCAUCACAUUCACCUCUAUGUUAAUUAUUAACUGACUCUACAUUCAAAAUUUACAGAAGAAUUGAUAAUUGUUUUUCUUUGUCUCCUUUUGUUUAUAUGUAGAACGUGAAUGUUUGUUACUAUACAGGGGGUUUUCCGGCGGCUUGGGGGGGGCUUAAGCCCCCACCAGCCCCCCCUUAAAUCCGUGCCUG